ACUACCAAAAUCCUACCUAUCCUUUUUUAGUCAUUGUAGAAUGACGAAACCUGUGGUGAACUACCAUGGUUUGCUAGGAUUACUGUAGACUUUUGAGAAGAAUCACCAGCUCUAAAAGGAGCCAGUGAAUUUAGUGGGAGGUUCAUCUGUAGGAUGUUGAUCCUCUAAGAGAGAAAAGAAAAAAAAAGAUGUAGAAAUCCCAUGCCGCU
rnacentral:lncRNA from 1 species